UUGAAAGGGAAACGAUUGAAGUCAGUCGUACCGACGAGAAAUCAGCUUAUCGUGUGUUAACUUGUGGGCGUGCGUGAGUUUCGGCCUCGCUGUUUGCAUGUUUGUGCGCUUUGGGUGUACUUUUUCGUAUGGUUGGCCAACAUCAGUUUCGAUCACUAUAAAAUGACUGGCGGAAUGUAGCUUCGAUUUCGGUUGAAGUGUUAUAGCCUCUGGUAGAUGUGGUGAUUGGGACUGAGGAUUGCAACGAAUAUCCUUUGGGCUAUCCGUCUGGCCUCUGAAAGUUGCUUGGGUGCUGAAAGCUUGCUUAUGGUUAUCUAAGUUAACGGUCAAUAGGUUAGGACGCGAUUACAUUCGUUAAGGAUGUUGACGUA
rnacentral:rRNA from 1 species